AGAGUUUGAUCAUGGCUCAGGAUGAACGCUAGCGGCAGGCCUAACACAUGCAAGUCGAGGGGUAACAUAGAGAAGCUUGCUUUUCUGAUGACGACCGGCGCACGGGUGCGUAACGCGUAUAGAAUCUACCUUAUACUGAGGGAUAGCCUUUGGAAACGAAGAUUAAUACCUCAUAGUAUGAUAAUUUGGCAUCAAAUAAUCAUUAAAGGUUACGGUAUAAGAUGACUAUGCGUCCUAUUAGCUAGAUGGUGUGGUAACGGCACACCAUGGCAACGAUAGGUAGGGGCCCUGAGAGGGGGAUCCCCCACACUGGUACUGAGACACGGACCAGACUCCUACGGGAGGCAGCAGUGAGGAAUAUUGGACAAUGGAGGCAACUCUGAUCCAGCCAUGCCGCGUGCAGGAAGACUGCCCUAUGGGUUGUAAACUGCUUUUAUACAGGAAGAAACCGCUCUACGUGUAGAGCUCUGACGGUACUGUAAGAAUAAGGAUCGGCUAACUCCGUGCCAGCAGCCGCGGUAAUACGGAGGAUCCAAGCGUUAUCCGGAAUCAUUGGGUUUAAAGGGUCCGUACGUGGAUAAUUAAGUCAGAG
rnacentral:rRNA from 1 species